AUACGUAGGGGGCGAGCGUUGUCCGGAAUGAUUGGGCGUAAAGGGCGCGUAGGCGGCCCGGUAAGUCUGGAGUGAAAGUCCUGUUUUUAAGAUGGGAAUUGCUUUGGAUACUGUCGGGCUUGAGUGCCGGAGAGGUAAGUGGAAUUCCCCGUGUAGCGGUGAAAUGCGUAGAGAUUGGGAGGAACACCAGUGGCGAAGGCGACUUACUGGACUGUAACUGACGCUGAGGCGCGAAAGUGUGGGGAGCAAACAGGAUUAGAUACCCUGGUAGUCCACACUGUAAACGAUGAAUGCUAGGUGUAAGAGGUAUCGACCCCUUUUGUGCCGGAGUCAACACAAUAAGCAUUCCGCCUGGGGAGUACGGCCGCAAGGUUGAAACUCAAAUGAAUUGGCGGGG
rnacentral:rRNA from 1 species